UCAGCCCACCUGUAUAUUUGAAGCUUUGUGCUAUCAGCAUGCAAAACUAAAUGCAAUACCCAAUAAAUACACUGGACCUGGAGGGAUUGCAAUCCCAGAGGUACAAUCAGUGUGAGACCUGGGCAUUUACUUGGGUAAUGAUGCAACCUUUCAUGUGCAUGUUGCUAAAUUAGCAAUGAAAUGUAGGCGGCUGACCGGUUGGA